rnacentral:rRNA from 1 species
GACGAACCGUGCGAGCGUUGUUCGGAAUCACUGGGCUUAAAGGGCGCGUAGGCGGGCCCGCAAGUCAGGGGUGAAAUCCCACGGCUCAACCGUGGAAGUGCCUUUGAUACUGGGGAUCUCGAGGGAGGUAGGGGCGUGCGGAACUUCCGGUGGAGCGGUGAAAUGCGUAGAUAUCGGAAGGAACACCGGUGGCGAAAGCGGCGCGCUGGACCUCUUCUGACGCUGAGGCGCGAAAGCCAGGGGAGCAAACGGG